rnacentral:tRNA from 1 species
GAGGGUAGAGCUCAGUGGUAGAGCAUGUGCUUAGCAUGCACAAGGUCCUGGGUUCAAUCCCCAGUACUUCCA